AUGCGAGCACAGGCUGAUCCUUGGUUCUUUGAAUACCUCCUACGGAUCGGCAAUGGAACAGAAGAGACAAUUGGCGACGACUAUGUGCGUCUCCCUGACGACAUUGUGAUCGGCUAUACCGAGGAUGAGAAAGCUAUUAACACACUCAUCGACAAUGUCUUCCCAUCGUUGCAUGCCAAUGCUAGAUCGAGAGAGUAUAUGAGCACACGUGCUAUUCUUUCCACCAAGAACGAUCAUGUCGAUGACCUGAAUGACAAGAUGAUCUCCAGGUUUCCAGGCUCAGAAAAGUUAUACCACAGCUUCGACUCCAUCGAGGAUGACUUGCAGUAUAAUUACACGAUUGAUUUUCUAAACUCGAUCACACCAAAUGGCUUGCCCCCGCAUGUGUUGAGAUUAAAGGUUAACUGCCCGGUCAUUCUGCUCCGGAACCUCGACCCUCAUAAUGGCCUAUGCAAUGGGACACGACUUAUGAUUAGAGCCUUCCAGGAUAAUGCAAUCGACGCAGAGAUUGUUGGUGGUCAGCAUGCUAGAAAGAGGGUCUUCAUACCUAGGAUCCCUAUGUCGCCCUCGGAGGACAUCUCACUUCCUUUCAAACUUAAGAGGAAACAGUUCCCCAUUCACCUGAGUUUUGCGAUGAAAAUUAACAAGGCGCAGGGUCAGACUAUCCCAAACGUCGGUAUUUACCUUCCCGAGCCAGUAUUCUCACAUGGUCAGCUAUAUGUUGCAUUGUCAAGGGGAGUGUCCAGAGAGACGACGCGGAUUUUGGCCAAGCCAAACAACGAGGUUGAUAAAUCUGGGAAAAGCACCAAGAACAUUGUCUAUAGAGAUGUUUUGGGGAGAUGA
rnacentral:rRNA from 1 species